rnacentral:rRNA from 1 species
AGAUUGAACGCUGGCGGCAGGCCUAACACAUGCAAGUCGAGCGGUAGAGAGGUGCUUGCAUCUCUUGAGAGCGGCGGACGGGUGAGUAAUGCCUAGGAAUCUGCCUAGUGGUGGGGGAUAACGUUCGGAAACGGACGCUAAUACCGCAUACGUCCUACGGGAGAAGCGGGGGACCUUCGGGCCUCGCGCCAUUAGAUGAGCCUAGGUCGGAUUAGCUAGUUGGUGAGGUAAUGGCUCACCAAGGCGACGAUCCGUAACUGGUCUGAGAGGAUGAUCAGUCACACUGGAACUGAGACACGGUCCAGACUCCGUACGGGAGCAGCGAGGUGGGAAUGUUAGGACAAGUGGGACAAAGCCUAGACUACCGAG